rnacentral:rRNA from 1 species
UACGUAGGCAGCGAGCGUUGUUCGGAUUUACUGGGCGUAAAGGGUGUGUAGGCGGUUUUUUAAGUUUGGUGUGAAAUCUCCCGGCUCAACCGGGAGGGUGCGCCGAAUACUGAGGGACUAGAGUACGGGAGAGGAAAGUGGAAUUCCUGGUGUAGCGGUGAAAUGCGUAGAUAUCAGGAGGAACACCGGUGGUGUAGACGGCUUUCUGGACCGUAACUGACGCUGAGACACGAAAGCGUGGGUAGCAAACAGG